rnacentral:rRNA from 1 species
GACGAACGCUGGCGGCGUGCUUAACACAUGCAAGUCGAACGGAAAGGCCCUGCUUUUGUGGGGUGCUCGAGUGGCGAACGGGUGAGUAACACGUGAGUAACCUGCCCUUGACUGUGGGAUAACUUCAGGAAACUGGGGCUAAUACCGGAUAGGAGCUCCUGCUGCAUGGUGGGGGUUGGAAAGUUUCGGCGGUUGGGGAUGGACUCGCGGCUUAUCAGCUUGUUGGUGGGGUAGUGGCUUACCAAGGCUUUGACGGGUAGCCGGCCUGAGAGGGUGACCGGCCACAUUGGGCCUGAGAUACGGCCCAGACUCCUACGGGAGGCAGCAGUGGGGAAUAGUGCACAAUGGGCGGAAGCCUGAUGCAGCAACGCAGCGUGCGGGAUGACGGCCUUCGGGUUGUAAACCGCUUUCGCCUGUGACGAAGCGUGAGUGACGGUAAUGGGUAAAGAAGCACCGGCUAACUACGUG